UAGGGAAUCUUCCGCAAUGGGCGAAAGCCUGACGGAGCAACGCCGCGUGAGUGAUGAAGGUCUUCGGAUCGUAAACUCUGUUAUUAGGGAAGAACAAAUGUGUAAGUAACUAUGCACGUCUUGACGGUACCUAAUCAGAAAGCCACGGCUAACUACGUGCCAGCAGCCGCGGUAAUACGUAGGUGGCAAGCGUUAUCCGGAAUUAUUGGGCGCAAAGCGCGCGUAGGCGGUUUUUUAAGUCUGAUGUGAAAGCCCACGGCUCAACCGUGGAGGGUCAUUGGAAACUGGAGAACUUGAGUGCAGAAGAGGAGAGUGGAAUUCCAUGUGUAGCGGUGAAAUGCGCAGAGAUAUGGAGGAACACCAGUGGCGAAGGCGACUUUCUGGUCUGUAACUGACGCUGAUGUGCGAAAGCGUGGGGAUCAAACAGG
rnacentral:rRNA from 1 species